rnacentral:rRNA from 1 species
UAUGUGAUCGUCUCUCGCAUAUCAAUAAGCGGAGGAAAAGAAACUAACAAGGAUUCCCCUAGUAACGGCGAGUGAAGCGGGAAGAGCUCAAAUUUGAAAUCUUAAAGGGUUUCCCUUUACGAAUUGUAGUUUAAAGAAGUGUUUUCUGUUGAGGUUUUGGUAAAAGUUCUUUGGAAUAGGACAUCAUAGAGGGUGAGAAUCCCGUAUUUGACCUUUACUUUCAACUUUGUGAUACACUUUCAAAGAGUCGGAUUGUUUGGGAAUGCAGUCCAAAAUGGGUGGUAAAUUUCAUCUAAAGCUAAAUAUUGGCGAGAGACCGAUAGCGAACAAGUACCGUGAGGGAAAGAUGAAAAGAACUUUGAAAAGAGAGUUAAACAGUACGUGAAAUUGUCAAAAGGGAAGCGUUUGACACCAGUGUUGUUUUUCUGAAAAUCAAUUAAAGAACUGUUUAUGCUAAGCUGUUUAGACUUUAUCAGCUAACUGUUUAGUUUUGAGCUUUUCUUUAAUGCACUUUUCAGUUAACAAGUCAACAUCAAUUUCUUUCGCUGUAAAAAAGCUUGAGGAAGGUGGCUUGAGAUUCGUCUUAAGUGUUUAUAGCCUCUUGCCUAUGCAGUCGGAGAGAUUGAGGUCUGCAACGUAGAUCCUUCGGGGCUAAAUGCAUUUGUGCUAAGUUAUAGCAUUUUAUAGACAACUUGUUGACUAUGAUUUGUCUUGUAGCUUACUCGCUUAUGUUAUUUUACCUACGCUUAGGAUGUUGAUAUGCAUGACUGAUAU